rnacentral:rRNA from 1 species
GUAGGUGGCAAGCGUUGUCCGGAAUUAUUGGGCGUAAAGCGCGCGCAGGCGGUUCUUUAAGUCUGAUGUGAAAGCCCACGGCUCAACCGUGGAGGGUCAUUGGAAACUGGAGAACUUGAGUACAGAAGAGGAAAGCGGAAUUCCACGUGUAGCGGUGAAAUGCGUAGAGAUGUGGAGGAACACCAGUGGCGAAGGCGGCUUUCUGGUCUGUAACUGACGCUGAGGCGCGAAAGCGUGGGGAGCAAACAGGAUUAGAUACCCGUGGUAGUCCACGCCGUGAACGAUGAGUGCUAAGUGUUAGGGGGUUUCCGCCCCCUUAGUGCUGCAGCUAACGCAUUAAGCACUCCGCCCUGGGAGUACGGCCGCAAGGCUG